UCAUUGUCUUCUUGUGUCUCAGUACUGCUGACGAGACAGUCAAAUCCAUUCUGAUUCCUUGGCAGUGUGCGUUCCCGGCCAACCUGGAUUCAGUGCAGAAGGGGGACUCCCUCAUGGCCUGAGUGUGCCUCACUGGGGACCAUCGUUGGAAACCAGCUUACGCAGCCCUGCAGAGUGACAGGGGUCCAGGAGUAUCUGGAACAGAUGGUUCGGCCGCCUGACGACGUUAGCCGCCCACACAGGCUACAG